UUACAUGGAUCAAAUUCAAUACAUCUUUCAAAUUCCAAUGUUAUAUAUAAGCUCCUUUUUUUUGCAACCUCACAUAUCAUAUCAUAAAACCAUUCCAAUUUUAAGAAAAUCUCUAAAAAUGUUUCUAUGUUUGAUCUUUGUAGUAAUAUAAUUAGUUGCCAAUCUCUUGUACAACUUGCCACCACUACCUUUGCCUUCACAAUUAUUCAAAAUAAAUCUUCCAAUAGUGACAAAAAAAACAUAAACAUGAGGUCUAAAAAUUGUCUUUGUAUCCUUCUAUAUUUUCUCUAAAAUAAGCAAAAAGUUCUUGUAUUAUCUUGCAUUAAAAAAUUCUUCAUCUUGAUUUUGAACGAUUACAAAUCCUAAUUUUGAAAAUUACAUGUCCAAAAAAAUCUCCAUUUGUUUAAAGAAAUUGGCACAAAUAUAUCACUUGCACAUACAUAUUACAUUAUCCAUUGAAAUGCAAACAACUUAAAUUAAAUUUACAUAUAUUCAUAAUUACUUAUGACCUUUAAUUUUUUUGAAACAAGAUUAGUUACAAAAGCACAACAAAAGGCCUUACAAUCUAAUACUCAACUAUCAUCCAACAAAAAUUCUAUGUUGUUGAGUGUCUUUUUCAAUUAUAAACUCAUAUAUUUAUGUUAUUUGUCUAGAAUAUAAGACAAAAUCCAUAAAAUUAAAAUUAUUACAUAUCCACUAAUGCUUGGUCUAUUCAUUUUAUUUUGUACAAUAUUAGCAUUCAAAACCCCCAAAAAAUUAUAAUAUAUUUUGAAGAAAUUAUAAAGACCAUCAAAAGAGAAAAUAACUAGUCAUUCAUAAUCUAAAUACAAAACUUGGUAUAUUUUUACUUAAUAAAUAAUAAAAUUAGAUAGAAACUCUAUUUAAACAUCCAACCAUCAAAUAUCAAAUAUCUAUGUCUCUAAUAUGAAGCUCCUACUUAAAUUAAAAUAAAACUUAUUUAUAAAUCAGCAACAUUACUACCCGUUUCCUUGACUAGUUCUAAAAACAACUAGACUGUGUACUGUAAAUAAGAAAACUAAAGAAUUGAUGUAGCAAAAGAAAGUAGAGUGAUUUCACCUUUUGACAAUGCCACAAACUUGACGACCUUCCUUCAAUCAAGCAUCCACUCCAGUCCCCUCAAUGCUUCAAUUUCAAUGACCCUCAACAAAGUACCGACUAACGAACAACAGUGAAUUUACCGGUGUUGUGCAGUACACUCACAGGUCGGAAAGCUAACAGAGAGAGGCUCCGACCAGAGAAAAUUCACCAAUCCACCAGACUGAUUGCAGAAAAACCGAUGCUCCCCCAACUAAGAAACGACUCACGAACAAAGGUGUAUCGAACUGUGUUGAGCACUACACUCUCAGAGCUAACAAAAUCCAACGAACAUCAGCAUCACAACUAAAUUUCUUUUUGUUAAAAACAGAAGAAAACAACCCAAAAAAGGAUUCCUCUGGCUUGGGCGACCAGCUUCUAAUGAUGGAUGGGUGAGAGAAGAAUCGAAAAAACAGAAGAGAGGAAACGAAAGAGAGAGAAGACACCAGAGAAAGAGAGCUGAGAAAGUGGAGUAGGCAGGCGGAGCAAGAGAGGAAGAGAGUCUAGAGAACGCUUCCACCGUUCCUGCGUCAACCUCAUCGUGACACGACCGGACAAAUCUACGGCGGCUAGACUGGACAUGCGUGAGAGUAUCUGCCACUGUUCAAUCUAAAGUCAAGGAACUGACCACCACACACACGCCACCCUCGCUGGAAUCUUCCAAAAUGGGUCUAGGGUUGAUUUAUUGAGAUCCGAGACCCAUUUCUCCGGCUACCCCCGAAAUUGGGUGCUGGCCAGCAGAUCCCGCGUGUCC
rnacentral:lncRNA from 1 species